CCCGCUCAGGAUGAACGCUGGCGGCGUGCCUAAUACAUGCAAGUCGAGCGAAUGGAUUAAGAGCUUGCUCUUAUGAAGUUAGCGGCGGACGGGUGAGUAACACGUGGGUAACCUGCCCAUAAGACUGGGAUAACUCCGGGAAACCGGGGCUAAUACCGGAUAACAUUUUGCACCGCAUGGUGCGAAAUUCAAAGGCGGCUUCGGCUGUCACUUAUGGAUGGACCCGCGUCGCAUUAGCUAGUUGGUGAGGUAACGGCUCACCAAGGCAACGAUGCGUAGCCGACCUGAGAGGGUGAUCGGCCACACUGGGACUGAGACACGGCCCAGACUCCUACGGGAGGCAGCAGUAGGGAAUCUUCCGCAAUGGACGAAAGUCUGACGGAGCAACGCCGCGUGAGUGAUGAAGGCUUUCGGGUCGUAAAACUCUGUUGUUAGGGAAGAACAAGUGCUAGUUGAAUAAGCUGGCACCUUGACGGUACCUAACCAGAAAGCCACGGCUAACUACGUGCCAGCAGCCGCGGUAAUACGUAGGUGGCAAGCGUUAUCCGGAAUUAUUGGGCGUAAAGCGCGCGCAGGUGGUUUCUUAAGUCUGAUGUGAAAGCCCACGGCUCAACCGUGGAGGGUCAUUGGAAACUGGGAGACUUGAGUGCAGAAGAGGAAAGUGGAAUUCCAUGUGUAGCGGUGAAAUGCGUAGAGAUAUGGAGGAACACCAGUGGCGAAGGCGACUUUCUGGUCUGUAACUA
rnacentral:rRNA from 1 species